rnacentral:rRNA from 1 species
GCCAUGCAUGUCAGUACAAAUAUAAAUAAAGUGAAACCGCGAAAGGCUCAUUAAAUCAGUUAUGGUUCAUUSGAUYGUACCCACAKUUACUUGGAUAACUGUGGUAAUUCUAGAGCUAAUACAUGCAAACAGAGGACCGACCGGAGACGGRAGGUGUGCUUUUAUUAGAUCWAAAACUAAUCGGUGGCAGUAUUGSAUUCAAACAUUACUGUUCAUCGCGAAUUBUGGUGACUCUAAAUAACUUUAUGCUGAUCGCACGGUCUWGCACCGGCGACGCAUCUUUCAAAUGUCUGCCUUAUCAACUGUCGAUGGUAGGAUCUGCGCCUACCAUGGUUGUAACGGGUAACGGGGAAUCAGGGUUCGAUUCCRGAGAGGGAGCCUGAGAAACGGCUACCACAUCCAAGGAAGGCAGCAGGCGCGCAAAUUACCCAUUCCCGGCACGGGGAGGUAGUGACGAAAAAUAACGAUACGGGACUCAUCCGAGGCCCCGUAAUCGGAAUGAGUACAWUUUAAAUCCUUUAACAAGGAUCAAUUGGAGGGCAAGUCUGGUGCCAGCAGCUGCGGUAAUUCCAGCUCCAAUAGCGUAUAUUAAAGUUGUUGCGGUUAAAAAGCUCGUAGUUGAAUUUGUGUCCCGCGCUGUCGGUUCACCGCCCGCGGUGUCAACUGGCACGUCUCGCGGGACGUCCUGCCGGUGGAUGAGUGGUCUUUGAUUWUUCUCCCAUAUUGCGUGUGCAUCCUUUGUGUUGUUACUGCUAUGUGUGUGUAGAAUUUUCAAAUGUAUAACCAUCCGAAUAUCCUGUCGCGGUUCUCUUAAUUGAGUGUCGAGGCAGGCCGGCACAUUUACUUUGAACAAAUUAGAGUGCUCAAAGCAGGCUAAAAUUUUGCCUAUAUAUUACUGCAUGGAAUAAUGAAAUAGGACCUCGUUUCCAUUUUGUUGGUUUUAGGAAUACCGAGGUAAUGAUUAAUAGGGACAGAUGGGGGCAUUCGUAUUGCGACGUUAGAGGUGAAAUUCUUGGAUCGUCGCAAGACGAACAGAAGCGAAAGCAUUUGCCAAAAAUGUUUUCUUUAAUCAAGAACGAAAGUCAGAGGCUCGAAGGCGAUCAGAUACCGCCCUAGUUCUGACCAUAAACUAUGCCAUCUAGCAAUCCGCCGACGUUCCUCCGAUGACUCGGCGGGCAGCUUGCGGGAAACCAAAGUGUUUGGGUUCCGGGGGAAGUAUGGUUGCAAAGCUGAAACUUAAAGGAAUUGACGGAAGGGCACCACCAGGUGUGGAGCCUGCGGCUCAAUUUGACUCAACACGCGAAACUUCACUAGGUCCGGACAGCGGAAGGAUUGACAGAUUGAUAGCUCUUUCUUGAUUCGUUGGGUGGUGGUGCAUGGCCGUUCUUAVUUGGUGGACUGAUUUGUCUGGUUAAUUCCKAUAACGAACGAGACUCUAGCCUACUAWAUAGGCGUUACUUACCGGUAUCSUGAAGGCUCGUGGAUUUCSUUUUSUGGCGUAUAUAAGUUGAUAUGCAUUUUSSUUUSRGCGUUUAAUGUAUCAUCWCKRUAUAYGUUUARUGYGAGAGCUCACAGUUUUUACUACCGGCGUACAUUUAAAUCUUCUYAGAGGGACAGGWGGCKUUUAKCCRCAMKAGAUUGAGCAAUAACAGGUCUGUGABGCCCUUAGAUGUCYUSRGSYGYACGCGCGCUACACUGWARGAAUCAACGUGUCUUCCCUGGCYGAAAGGUCCGGGUAACCCGCUGAAACUCYUUCGUGCUAGGGAUUGGGGUUUGCAAUUAUCCCCCAUGAACGAGGAAUACCUVGUAAGUGCGAGUCAUAAACUUGCGCUGAUUAAGUCCCUGCCCUUUGUACACACYGCCCGUCGCUAUUACCGAUUGAAUAAUUUAGUGAGGUCUUCGGACCGGUAACGCGGUGAUGUCUCGAUAUYGCCGAUGUCGCUGG